AGAGUAUAAGCCAAUGGAGCUUGGAAGGCUUCCGCAGAUGGCGUUCAUCAUACGUGGUGUUCUUAAGACCUUGAGUGUGGCUCGUGAGGCGAAGCAUUGAGUUUGCCGGGGUAGCUGCCGUGCGGGGGGUUCGGCUUGGAGGUCUCAGGCUUCGGCCGAAGGGCUUCCGGGUCGUCCCCUUGUGAACGGACGUUCAGAGCUCUUGUGUCUAAUGCGGUUAUGCCCACCACAGCACGUUGUGAGGUCACCCACAGGCUCAAACUGCCGAUCGCGCAUCCAGGACGAUGGCAACGGUGCGUUGUCCUGGGUCGGGCGGCGACCGAGAUAAACCUGGUACGAUCCUCUUGCGACGAGCUGCUUUCUGGCCAGACCGACGCCCAGGCGCUUCCACUGUGCCGGAAGCGUCAAUCCCAGGCGGUGUGAACCCAGCUGCAUUAUGCAAGGUCUCUCAGCCGGGCGUUGGUCUGAGUGGUGUCAAGUCCAGCACCAUCGGUCACGUCUCGAAACACGGGCCAAGGAGUAUAGCAUGUGUGCAAGUCUAAGGGUAUCCCAAAACCCGAAGGCGAAGUGAAAGCAAGGUUGUGGCGGGGGAGCUACGGCGAACCCGCCGGCCUGGUGACGCUUGCGUCGCCUGGCUUAAAGCAGAGCUGAUCCUGUUUUCUCGGUAAAUUCUUGGUGCAGGCGCAAGCUCCGGGCUCACGUACGGCACUGGUCACGCCUYGUGCGGGGCUGUGUUGUGAGCACCGUGGAGCAUGCA
rnacentral:rRNA from 1 species